rnacentral:rRNA from 1 species
AUGCAUGUUCCCCCACCUGUGGCCCUCCCCUGCGCUCACUAUCUUCCCUCCGCCUCCGGCGUGAGAGUCGCACACGCCACCCUACACUGCCACCUUUCUCCUCCCGCCCGGCCUCCCGGCUCCGCUGUGCGGAACAGAGCCGCCGCGCACCCACCUAGUCAUCACUACCGUCUCUCUUCCUCCAUGCUGCCGCCGCCCCUCUUCCUCCAUGCUACUGCCACCUUCGACUCUGCCCCCAUGCCCCAGGGUGUCCGCGUCGAGCUGCCCUCUCUUCUACUAGCAGUGCACAGAAGUUGUUUGUGUAUAUGCCUUGAACAAAAAAUCAUCUCUAAAAAAUGGCAAGCAACCAAUCUCUAG